CUGAGUGUAAAAACUCCCAAACCCAUUGUGAACAUACCUCUGUUGCUUCGGCGGAUGCGCCCCGGGCGCGCUCCUCACAGGGCGUGCCCCGGAACCAGGCGCCCGCCGGGGGACCGAAACUCUUGUUUUUAUAGGAUCUCUGAGUGUGAUUAUAAAUAAAUCA
rnacentral:misc_RNA from 1 species